rnacentral:rRNA from 1 species
GACGAACGCUGGCGGCGUGCCUAAUACAUGCAAGUAGAACGCUGAAGGAGGAGCUUGCUCUUCUGGAUGAGUUGCGAACGGGUGAGUAACGCGUAGGUAACCUGCCUGGUAGCGGGGGAUAACUAUUGGAAACGAUAGCUAAUACCGCAUAAUAGUAGAUGUUGCAUGAUAUUUACUUAAAAGGUGCAAUUGCACCACUACCAGAUGGACCUGCGUUGUAUUAGCUAGUUGGUGGGGUAACGGCUCACCAAGGCGACGAUACAUAGCCGACCUGAGAGGGUGGUCGGCCACACUGGGACUGAGACACGGCCCAGACUCCUUAGGGAGGCAGCAGUAGGGAAGUUUCGGCAAUGGACGAAAGUCUGACCGAGCAACGCCGCGUGAGUGAAGAAGGGUUUCGGAUCGUAAAGCUCUGUUGUAAGAGAAGAACGAGUGUGAGAGUGGAAAGUUCACACUGUGACGGUAUCUUACCAGAAAGGGACGGCUAACUACGUG